rnacentral:rRNA from 1 species
UACGUAGGGGGCAAGCGUUGUCCGGAUUUAUUGGGCGUAAAGGGCUCGUAGGCGGCCAACUAAGUCAGACGUGAAAUCCCUCAGCUUAACUGGGGAACUGCGUCUGAUACUGGAUGGCUUGGAUUCGGGAGAGGAAUGCGGAAUUCCAGGUGUAGCGGUGAAAUGCGUAGAUAUCUGGAGGAACACCGGUGGCGAAGGCGGCAUUCUGGACCGAUAUUGACGCUGAGGAGCGAAAGCCAGGGGAGCAAACGGG